rnacentral:rRNA from 1 species
ACUCAAAGGAAUAGACGGGGGCCCGCACAAGCGGAGGAACAUGUGGUUUAAUUCGAUGAUACGCGAGGAACCUUACCCGGGCUCGAACGGCAGAGGAAUAUGCAAGAGAUUGCAUAGCCUUUAUGGUCUCUGUCGAGGUGCUGCAUGGUUGUCGUCAGCUCGUGCCGUGAGGUGUCGGCUUAAGUGCCAUAACGAGCGCAACCCUUGUCGUCAGUUGCUAUCAGGUAAAGCUGGGGACUCUGGCGAGACUGCCACCGUAAGGUGUGAGGAAGGGGGGGAUGACGUCAAAUCAGCACGGCCCUUACGUCCGGGGCGACACACGUGUUACAAUGGGUGGUACAGAGGGAAGCUACCCCGUGAGGGGAUGCUAAUCUCCAAAACCACUCUCAGUUCGGAUUGGAGUCUGCAACUCGACUCCAUGAAGUUGGAUUCGCUAGUAAUCGCGCAUCAGCCAUGGCGCGGUGAAUACGUUCCCGGGCCUUGUACACACCGCCCGU